CCUACGGGUGGCAGCAGUGAGGAAUAUUGGUCAAUGGGCGCGAGCCUGAACCAGCCAAGUCGCGUGAAGGAAGACUGUCCUAUGGCUUGUAAACCUCUUUUGUCGAGGAACAAAGUGCGCCACGCGUGCCGUUCCGAAUGUACCCUAAGAAUAAGCAUCGGCUAACUCCGUGCCAGCAGCCGCGGUAAUACGGAGGAUGCGAGCGUUAUCCGGAUUUAUUGGGGUUAAAGGGUGCGUAGGCUGGGUGGUAAGUCAGCGGUGAAAUGCCCACGCUCAACGGGGUGAAGUGCAAUUGAUACUGCCUUGCUGGAAUGCGGAUGCGGUGGGAGGAAUGUGUGGUGUAGCGGUGAAAUGCAUAGAUAUCACACAGAACACCGAUUGCGAAGGCAGCCUACGAAUCCGCGAUUGACGCUGAUGCACGAAAGUGUGGGUAUCAAACAGGAUUAGAUACCCGAGUAGUC
rnacentral:rRNA from 1 species